GUGGGGAAUAUUGCACAAUGGGGGAAACCCUGAUGCAGCGACGCCGCGUGAAGGAAGAAGUAUUUCGGUAUGUAAACUUCUAUCAGCAAGGAAGAAAAUGACGGUACUUGACUAAGAAGCCCCGGCUAAAUACGUGCCAGCAGCCGCGGUAAUACGUAUGGGGCAAGCGUUAUCCGGAUUUACUGGGUGUAAAGGGAGCGUAGGCGGUAAGACAAGUCAGAAGUGAAAGGCUGGGGCUCAACCCUGGGACUGCUUUUGAAACUGUCUAACUAGAGUGCAGGAGAGGUAAGUGGAAUUCCUAGUGUAGCGGUGAAAUGCGUAGAUAUUAGGAGGAACACCAGUGGCGAAGGCGGCUUACUGGACUGUAACUGACGCUGAGGCUCGAAAGCGUGGGGAGCAAACAGGAUUAGAAACCCGGGUAGUCC
rnacentral:rRNA from 1 species